rnacentral:rRNA from 1 species
UACCAGACUCCUACGGGAGGCAGCAGUGAGGAAUAUUGGUCAAUGGGCGCGAGCCUGAACCAGCCAAGUCGCGUGAGGGAAGACGGUCCUAUGGAUUGUAAACCUCUUUUGUCGGGGAGCAAAAGACGCCACGUGUGGCGUUCCGAGAGUACCCGAAGAAAAAGCAUCGGCUAACUCCGUGCCAGCAGCCGCGGCAAUACGGAGGAUGCGAGCGUUAUCCGGAUUUAUUGGGUUUAAAGGGUGCGCAGGCGGAAGAUCAAGUCAGCGGUAAAAUCGAGGGGCUCAACCCCUUUAAGCCGUUGAAACUGGUGAUCUUGAGUGGGCGAGAAGUAUGCGGAAUGCGUGGUGUAGCGGUGAAAUGCAUAGAUAUCACGCAGAACUCCGAUUGCGAAGGCAGCAUACCGGCGCCCGACUGACGCUGAGGCACGAAAGCGUGGGGAUCGAACAGGAUUAGAUACCCUUGUACG